UGACUUUUAGUAACGGCGAGUGAAGCGGCAAAAGCUCAAAUUUGAAAUCUGGUACCUUCGGUGCCCGAGUUGUAAUUUGGAGAGGGCAACUUUGGGGCCGUUCCUUGUCUAUGUUCCUUGGAACAGGACGUCAUAGAGGGUGAGAAUCCCGUGUGGCGAGGAGUGCGGUUCUUUGUAAAGUGCCUUCGAAGAGUCGAGUUGUUUGGGAAUGCAGCUCUAAGUGGGUGGUAAAUUCCAUCUAAAGCUAAAUAUUGGCGAGAGACCGAUAGCGAACAAGUACAGUGAUGGAAAGAUGAAAAGAACUUUGAAAAGAGAGUGAAAAAGUACGUGAAAUUGUUGAAAGGGAAGGGCAUUUGAUCAGACAUGGUGUUUUGUGCCCUCUGCUCCUUGUGGGUAGGGGAAUCUCGCAUUUCACUGGGCCAGCAUCAGUUUUGGUGGCAGGAUAAAUCCAUAGGAAUGUAGCUUGCCUCGGUAAGUAUUAUAGCCUGUGGGAAUACUGCCAGCUGGGACUGAGGACUGCGACGUAAGUCAAGGAUGCUGGCAUAAUGGUUAUAUGCCGCCCGUCUUGAACCCCCGGACCA
rnacentral:rRNA from 1 species